GCUUAAGAGAAUAAUUUACCUUCUAGAAAGAUGAGACCUUGGAUUACUAUCUUAGUACUUGUGGUAACAGUGACUUUUGCUCAUGGAUGGCUUUCGAGUUCUCAAGGCUAAAUACCGCCAUUGUAAUUGCAAAGCAUACGACGCCAGCAGCCGUGAAUUAAUCAAGGAUUUUGGUGUAGUAUCGUCAUGUAAAGGCUGGCCAAAAUGUGCUUGCAGACGUGCGGAAAUGAUGAACUGUGCUGACACCUGUGAUCACGUGGUAGCUCAGUGGGUGUGUAAUCACGAGACAGAGUGCAAAGCUAGGAGUGACCGGAUAAAGAAAUACUACGAUGCUGGAGGAUGUAGCAGGGGAUUCGGCCAUGAGAGUAGAAAAUGUGGUGAGUGCAGUACACUCGGAUAAUUUCUAAAGAAUAAAACUAAUGAAAAA